GACGAACGCUGGCGGCGUGCCUAAUACAUGCAAGUUGAACGCUUCUUUCUUAUCGAACUUCGGUUCACCAAGAAAGAAGAGUAGCGAACGGGUGAGUAACACGUGGGUAACCUGCCCAUCAGUGGGGGAUAACACCUGGAAACAGGUGCUAAUACCGCAUAAUACUUUUUCUCUCAUGAGUGAAAGUUGAAAGGCGCUUUUGCGUCACUAAUGGAUGGACCCGGGGUGCAUUAGCUAGUUGGUAGGGUAACGGCCUACCAAGGCAACGAUGCAUAGCCGACCUGAGAGGGGGAUCGGCAACACUGGGACUGAGACACGGCCCAGACUCCUACGGGAGGCAGCAGUAGGGAAUCUUCGGCAAUGGACGAAAGUCUGACCGAGCAACGCCGCGUGAGUGAAGAAGGUUUUCGGAUCGUAAAACUCUGUUGUUAGAGAAGAACAAGGAUGAGAAGAGAAUGUUCAUCCCUUGACGGUAUCCAACCAGAAAGCCACGGCUAACUACGUGCCAGCAGCCGCCGUAA
rnacentral:rRNA from 1 species